CCCGCCGCCGCCCCGCGUCCCCGCCGCCUCCCGCGCCGUGCCUCGGGGACGCCGGGCGCUCAGGGGAAGGCGGCGCGGGGCUUCGUCCGUCCCCGGUCGGCACCGAGCCGUCCUCCGCAGUCGCCGUUCGGACGGGAGCCGGCUGGGAACGCGGUCGUGUCUUUGUUUGCCGCUCUGUGCGUUCGUGGAUUAAACGUUUCCCGUUCGUUUCUCGGCGCUUCUGCCCGCGGUCGUUUCUGCAGCUCCGAAAUCCGUAAAAGAAAAGACUGAGGUUGAAGAAGCUCCACCUGGGGAAGUCAAGGUGGAGGAAACCCCUGCUGCUGCUGCUGUGGGAAAGGAGGCCAUCCCUGCUGAGCCAGAUGAGCCAACAGAGCAGGCUGCGGUGAGUGAUCUGUCCCCCAUGUCCAUCUCCUGUUUCUGUACCAGCUUGCCAUUGCCAUCAGACACAUGGCUUUUAUGAGGCAAUAGAGAUAUUUGUUUACCUCUCCUGUUAAAAAACAAAAAAGAGCAACAUGCUGUAGCAAGCAUGCAUGCUUUGCUGCAGUAAGAAAUAAUUAUAUUUUGGAGCUUGUUGAAGCUCGUGGGAUUUUUUUCUGUUUGAGACCCUCUGCAGUCUGUUUUAAAAUUAAUGUAAAAAUCAGGUCUUUGCAGCAUGGUUUGGCAGCUUGAAAGAAGAAUUAAUCCUGUAUGUAUAAAAGAAAAGGUGAUGUCACACUGCAGUUCUAGCAGGAUAAAGCUGUGAGGGGUUUGCAUGGUAACACUGCUGUCAGCAGCUGCCUUGCCCUGGCAUCUGGACAGGUCUGGGUCUUAUGAGGUGACUGCAGGAAGAUGAGCUUAGAAAACACACGAGUGAAGUGAAGUUUGGAUAUAACGCAGCAUCCUUUUAUUAAACAAGAUAACAUGCAAGCAUUUCAGAUGAAACGUGCAGGAGUUUUGGUGUGGCAGGUGUGUGGAGGCAGUGAGCUGGAGGCUGAGCACUGAGGUCUGAUCACAAGUGCUGAAGAUGGCGAUCUGCUCUACCUGCACUCACACAGAUCUGCAUGGCUUGUCUUCACCCUUACAGGGCUUUUGGAAAAUCUGACAUAUGUAUGUUUGCAGAGCAGCCUCAACGUUUAUUAGUGAAAGAGAUUUCUAUAAGGGGGCUUAGAUUUACUUUUCCUCUGAAAAGCAUCUUUAGAAAUAUCCUGCAAUCUGCAGGAAGCCAAGACUGAGCAGAAGAGAAAAGCACUUCCAAGUCUUCCAAAUGAGACAUGAACUACAGCCAUCUUGACUGUUUGUUGACCUAAACUGGACCUGAACCUCUUGAUCCAGGCUGAGCAAUAGCCAGAACUGAAUCCAAGCUCAAGCAGAAGGGAUGUUGCUGUCUGAAUCCCAGAAUGCUACAGUAGAAUUGGAAACCAGCAGGAGCACAACUGUCCCACAGCGUUUAGGAAAUUGUACGUUUUUUCCUCUUGCAAACCUGGAACUCGUGCAGGUUUACAGCUUCUGUAGGAAAGGACCUUGUGAUAGAUCCCAUCUGUGCUGUAAGAAGUAUUGUUUGGGGUGGAGAGCAUCACUGUUCAGAGCAAUUGAUCCCUUGGGCAUCUUCAUGGGUGCCAGAUUUAGAGCCACCGACACAUGUCUGCUGUUUCAAAUGUCAGGCACCCACUGCAUGUACAGCUGAGUGUGGGCCUGGAGGAAAGUGAUUCUGCACCAACUGAUGAGCUUUGUGACCCACCUCUUUGAACAAUCCCCUGCUGUGUGUUUCAGCCCAACGUGUGUGGAAGAAGUGUUCCAGGAAGUUUUCCUGCAAACUGGAGAGUAUCGAGGCAGAGAUAAGGAGACAACUGGAAUUGCUGAGGAAGAGAGCGAGGUGGUGAGUGCUGCAGAUGGGGCGGUGGAGUGGAAGACAGCGUGGUGGUGGCAGCAGGAGCUGGUGAGGGUGCUGCUCCCACGGGACAGGAGGCUGCUGCUGGAGGUGACAAACCUCAGGGAGAAGAAAAGGAGAUUGAUGUUUCCCAGGUACCUCAUGUUGUUGUGUGGGGAGCAUUAGAGGAAUCCAGCCAGAUCCAGCAGCUCCAGCACAGGCCAGACUGAUGCAGCUCCAUGCCCCAGGGUCCAGCAAGCAGUGAGGAUGAGCAUGUAUUCUCAGUGCACACACAGAGCACACAGACAUAUUUGUACACACAGACAGCCAUGGGAAUCAAAGACAGGCACACGGGGUACUCACACAAACACAAGCAUUACCAGAGGCCUCGUCACGUUCACCUCUGGCUGAGCAGGUAGAGCUCUACUAGUGAGAAGACAUGUAUUCGUAUGUACGUGCUGACGUCACUCAAGUCCACUCACCUGAGUGUCUCCAGUGGCUGGCACCUGGAUCUCUCCUGCAGCUGGCAGAUGGGCACACAGGCCCUCCAAUCCACGGUCUGAGCCUAGUGCACACAUGGGCAAGAACAACAGACAGCCCUCACCCUGGAGAGGAGUUAGCAAGCAACUUGAUGAGAAGAUAGGACAGACCACACUCAUCAGGUGCAGGACAUGGCCAGGAAAAGGUCAGCAGCAUCCCUUCAGUAGUAAUGGAGCCAGCAUCGAACAACGAAGGGGCAGGAGAAGAACACGGUGUGAUCAUGAACGAGUCCAAAGAUGCUGCAGCAGAGAUGGGCACUCAGGGCAGUGACAGUGAAACUUGCCAAGUUGGAAGUGAGCAGGAACCAACUGAAGAAGUGCAGACUGCACCUUCUCAAGAUCAGCCUGCGUCAGCAGGAGGCACAGCUUCUGACAUGGCACAGGGCUUUCUCUUGAAGGUUGAAGUUCUGCAUGAUUUUGAGGCAGCUAAUGGUGACCAGCUUAAUUUAAAUGGAGGGGAUAUUGCACUAGUAAUUCCUUCUGAGACCACAGCUGAUCAGGUAACAACAACGUGAUUAGUUAUUUCUUUUGCUAAUGUUUCCCUUUGUCUCAGUUUCCUUCUCACUCUUUAUAGUUAAUUUGAAAUGUUGGUUCAGAACGUCUCUACUGUUAGAAAACACCAGCAUUCUUAUUUUGCCCUUUUGCUUGGUUUGAUUUGUGACCAAGCAGCACAGCUAACUAAGCUGAAGUCCCAGGUAUGUACUGCCAGCAGGGUCCAACUUCAGUGCAUUUGUCUAGGGCACUUUUAUGUUGCUUUGUAGUGAAUUUUAUACAGGCUUACAUACAGACACAGGCUGAAUACAGAAGAUGGCUUACAAAUGGUGCAUCCUGCUGUCAUGUUGUUGUAACACUGGGUCAGAACUGACUGUGUUUCCCCACACGUUCAGAGUUUUACAUGGAGAUCUGGGGAAAUAUGCAUUUGCCCAGAGAGAGCACUGAGACUGCACACCAACAGUUCUGUCCUGCAGCCCAAUGGCACAGAGGUGUUCCUGCAUGUCCUGUGUGCCUCUUGGGACCUGAGCCUCACAGCUGUGCUCUUGAGCUGCACCAGCAAUCGCUUUGUCUUUGGUGCAAGAACCCAACAGUUCAGUGUCAUUUAAGAUGCUUUAUUUUGUCUUAACAGCGUGUUUCAGGUUAAUUUUUAAACAAUUUAAUUCCACGUUAUGUUGAUUUGCAGUCAAGUGAAUGAAUUUUUUACCUCCUCUUUAAGAGCAGCCCAUCUUGUACAAUUCGUACGAGCCACUUUGUGGCUGCAGUGGCAGAAAGCGUUGAUGAAAAGCAUUCCAUUGAACUGGGGGCUGGGAGGUUGGGCUCUGGACCUGCACAGUGAGACAGCCAGGUCUCUGCUCCGAAUGAAGAGCAGUUCUUCAAACAUGCCCAAAUGCUGUCAGCGCGUUUGGAGAGCCAGAGACUGUUUGUUAUCUAAGCUGAACUCUCUCUUAAUACAAGAGACAAGUAAUUGCUUUGGUUUCUGAUUCUUUUUUAUUGUUGUUUCUGAAUAAAAGAUUAUUUUAUUUUCCUUUUCACUGGGACGCUUUGUUAUUUUGUAGGGACAGAUCCUCUUAUGCUUACUCAAACUGUGCUGCCUCACCUGUUGGGCUGUUCAGCUGAGUUCAUUGUCAGUAUUUGCAGAACCUACUCUAAGGAUAUAAAAAGACGCUGUCUUCAGUUAUUUUUUCUUAUCAUGUUUUGUAUUAAUCUAUAUAACCUUUCCUUGGUGAAUCCAUUGAUUGUUUUUCUCUUGUGGUGUGCAUCCAAAUCCCAUUAGCGUUCAUUGGAGUGAAUUGUGUGCAGUGAUGGAGAAAAUGAAGCCCCAUGUAUUCGUGUUGCUGAGAUCGUUCUGCUCAUAUCUUUAUUACUCACUGCAUAUUUGCCCUUGGUGUUUCACAUCACCAUAGAACUCAAUUUUUCUCUUACCAGAUAAUGUGUUGAUUUACAGAGAGUAUUUGAUCUUGGUUCUUUUUCCUCCUGCAAAAUUGAUCUAAACCCAUCAUUCUGAGAUAGCUGGUGCUGUCAGCCUGUGCUCCCUGUGCAAAGCCAACUCAUCCCAGCCAGUGACUCCAACUUUUAUCCGUAAUUAUUGAGUUGCAGUCAUCAUCCAUUACAACUUCAGUCCUGAGCAGAAUCUACUCUGUCCCUGGUAGAAAACUUCAGUUCCCCCACCUCAGGUUUUCCAAAAGGUGACUUCAAAAACGUGCUGCCAGUUACUCCAUCUCUCUCUGUACUGUCUGUAGAAUGAUAAUGAAUCAGCAUUAGAAAUUCCCUGCUAAUCAUCACUUUACUCUGACUCCUGUUCUUCAAAGGAACAAAGCACAGAGUUAGCCAUGUGGUGAGAUGAAAACAGGCUGAUCACUGCAAGAAUACUGCCUGGAUUUUGUUCCAGGUGAAAUGGAUAGCACUUAGGAGAACCCAGCACUUUCCAACAAGAAAUCUUCCUUUUUCCGCUUCUCUCCUCACACAUCGCCCACCAUUUUUUCCUUUUCCUCCCUCUUACACUCCUCUCUUAUGCUUUCCUUAUUUCACUUGCACUUCUGCUCUCACGUGUUCCUUCUUUCUUUUGCACUUUGCUCUCCCAGAGCCUCGCUUUCCCCUUUGCUGUUUCUCAGCAGUAUUUCUUGCUUGCUCCCUUUCUCACCUACUUGCACUUUCCCUCCCAUGUCUUUGGCAGUGUACCUUUGCUGUUUCUCUCUCUCUACUGCUCCCUCCACCACAUGACCCUUUCUCUCUCUUCUCUGCUCCUUCCAUUCCUUCUCUUGCUCCCCAUCCCUUCUUCUCUCUUCCUCUCGCAUGCUGUUUCCCUCUUGGCUCUUGUUUUCUCUCUCUCUGAAAUACUUACCCUGUGUUAAUCUCCUUCUUAGACUCUUUUCCUCUCUGACUUGUGCUCUCUUGAAGAGCUUACCCUCUCGCCUGUGUUUUCUGACAUGCCUUCCACGUGUCACUUAUGUGUUUAUCUCUUGCUUUUUCCUGUCACACUCUGUUUUUCCCAUGUUCUGUUCUUCUAUCUUUUAUUCCUUCUAUCUUCUAUUCUUUUUUUCCUCUUGCUUUCCAGUCUUGCAUUCUCUCUCUUUUGCGUUUUUCUUUUCUUGCUUGCAUUUCCUCACCUACUUGUGUUAUCUUCUAUUGCAUGUUUCUGCCCUUGUCCGUGUGCUCCUACUCUGGUAUGCUUUCCCUGCUGCAAGUGCUUUUCCUCUCUUUGCUUUCCUCCUCUCCGUUGGGUGCUCACACUCUCGCAUGUGUUCCCAGAGUCAUCACAGAGCAGGUUGGGUUGGAAAAGACCUCAAGGAUCAUCAAGUCUUCUCUCUCAUGGUCUCUCACUUCCCUCAGCUCUUCCAUGCUUUCCUCUUGCUUGUAAAAUCUUCCCCUCUUGCACGGAGGCUUUCCCUCUUGCUUGCCCUUUCCCUCGUGUUUCCUCCUUUCUCAUUGAGUUCUUCCCAGGCUCUUGCAAUUUCUCCCUUGCUUUGCUUCUCUUUUGCAGACGUACUUUUUGUAAGUACAGGUAGCGACAGGACGAGAGGAAAUGGCUUUAAACUGGAAGAGGAUAGAUUUAGACUGGAUAGUGGGGUGAAAUUCUUUGCUGUGAAGGUGGUGAGACGCUGGAAGUGGUCACCCCUCCCUGAAAGUAUUCAAGGCCAGGCAUGAUGGGUCUUUGAGCGACCUGCUCUAGUGGGAAAUGCCCCUGUCUGUGGCAGGGGGGUUGGAACUAGAUGAUCUAAAAGGCCACUUGCACCCCAGGCUGUUCUAUGAUUCUGUCUAUAUCUGAUUUCCCUCUGUCUUUGUGGUCUUUGCUACUGCAGCAUCUCUGAUGCCUGUUUCUUCUGUUCAGUGGUCACAGUCACGGGUUGAUCAUUGCACUAGGUGAUCUCAGUGGUCUUUCCAAGCCUUAUGAUUCUGUGCUUGUCUCACUUGGUAAAGGUGGUCACCUAGCAAGUAAGGUGAAGAAAAUGUGGUGACAUUUAAUGCUUUUUUUUUUUU